AAAGGCACUAGGAGGAACGCGAAGAUGUUUUUACUUUAGGCGUAAGCACACGUACGAGAGGCUGCUAUAAAUACAGGCUGCCAGAGCACAGAUCUGGCAGAAGUGACUGCGUUUGUCUGGAUCACCACUCAUCUGCAAGCACCAUGAAUGUCACGAUGAAGAGGGUGGCGCUCAUAUUGGUUGUCGUUCUUCUCUGCGAAGUGAUGUCAACGGAAGCGGCACGCCGUCAACCCGCUAGAUCGCGCAAUACAAAGCGAGUGAUGUGUGGUGGCAAACUAUGCGCACCUGGUGAGUUCUGCGGUGACUUCAUUAAUCCCCCCCAAUGUGCUCGGGAGGACCCUGAACUUAUUGGAUGAAGAAUAAAAUAAAAUUCCUGCCCAUUGAGCAAAAUCGAAGCCGAUAGAUAGCUGCAUCAAGGAAAGCACACUGGAGGAACAUGAUCAGCAUCA